rnacentral:rRNA from 1 species
CAAUAGCGUAUAUUAAAGUUGUUGCAGUUAAAAAGCUCGUAGUUGGAUUUCUGGUAGGAGCGACCGUGCCGAACUUGAUUGUUCGAGUAUUGUGUUGUCUUCAGCCAUCCUCGUGGAGAACUUUUCUAACAUUAACUUGUUGGGAUUGGGACCCGCGUCGCUUACUGUGAAAAAAUUAGAGUGUUUAAAGCAGGCAUUAGCUUGAAUACAUUAGCAUGGAAUAAUAAGAUAGGACUUUGGUACUAUUUUGUUGGUUUGCAUACCAAAUUAAUGAUCAACAGGAACAGUUUGAGGAUAUUCGUAUGAACAUGUCAGAGGUGAAAUUCUUGGAUUUUGAUCAGACGAACUACUGCGAAAGCAUUUAUCAAGGAUGUUUUCAUUAA